rnacentral:rRNA from 1 species
GAUGAACGCUGGCGGCGUGCCUAAUACAUGCAAGUCGAGCGAAUGGAUUAAGAGCUUGCUCUUAUGAAGUUAGCGGCGGACGGGUGAGUAACACGUGGGUAACCUGCCCAUAAGACUGGGAUAACUCCGGGAAACCGGGGCUAAUACCGGAUAACAUUUUGAACCGCAUGGUGCGAAAUGGAAAGGCGGCUUCGGCUGUCACUUAUGGAUGGACCCGGGUCGCAUUAGCUAGUUGGUGAGGUAACGGCUCACCAAGGCAACGAUGCGUAGCCGACCUGAGAGGGUGAUCGGCCACACCGGGACUGAGACACGGCCCAGACUCCUACGGGAGGCAGCAGUAGGGAAUCUUCCGCAAUGGACGAAAGUCUGACGGAGCAACGCCGCGUGAGUGAUGAAGGCUUUCGGGUCGUAAAACUCUGUUGUUAGGGAAGAACAAGUGCUAGUUGAAUAAGCUGGCACCUUGACGGUACCUAACCAGAAAGCCACGGCUAACUACGUGCCAGCCGCCGCCGUAA